GACGAACGCUGGCGGCGUGCUUAACACAUGCAAGUCGAGCGGUAAGGCCCUUCGGGGUACACGAGCGGCGAACGGGUGAGUAACACGUGGGUGAUCUGCCUCGCACUCUGGGAUAAGCCUGGGAAACUGGGUCUAAUACCGGAUAUGACCACGGAUCGCAUGGUUUGUGGUGGAAAGAUUUAUCGGUGCGAGAUGGGCCCGCGGCCUAUCAGCUUGUUGGUGGGGUAAUGGCCUACCAAGGCGACGACGGGUAGCCGACCUGAGAGGGUGACCGGCCACACUGGGACUGAGACACGGCCCAGACUCCUACGGGAGGCAGCAGUGGGGAAUAUUGCACAAUGGGCGAAAGCCUGAUGCAGCGACGCCGCGUGAGGGAUGACGGCCUUCGGGUUGUAAACCUCUUUCGACAGGGACGAAGCGCGAGUGACGGUACCUGUAGAAGAAGCACCGGCCAACUACGUG
rnacentral:rRNA from 1 species